CUCUGCUUGCUCGGGACACCACCUCCUUCGGUCCCAUCGCCCCCGCUGGCCGGGGUGAAGAAGUUGAGCACGGACUAUGCCGGUGAACCUUGCCAUCAGAGAUUCCAGAAGCAGUGACCCGUAUGUUGUUGUCAAGUUGGGAAAGCAGAAGGUAAAGACUUGUGUGGUGAAGAAGAGUGUGAAUCCGGAAUGGAAUGACCUUCUCACUCUAUCAG